GAUGAAGAACGCAGCGAAAUGCGAUAAGUAACGUGAAUUGCAGAAUUCAGUGAAUCAUCGAAUCUUUGAACGCACAUUGCGCCCGCCAGUAUUCUGGCGGGCAUGCCUGUCUGAGCGUCAUUUCAACCCUCAUGCCCCUAGGGCGUGGUGUUGGGGAUCGGCCAAAGCCCGCGAGGGACGGCCGGCCCCUAAAUCUAGUGGCGGACCCGUCGUGGCCUCCUCUGCGAAGUAGUGAUAUUCCGCAUCGGAGAGCGAUGAGCCCCUGCCGUUAAACCCCCAACUUUCCAAGGUUGACCUCAGAUCAGGUAGGAAUACCCGCUGAACUUAAGCAUAUCAAUAAGCGGAGGA
rnacentral:misc_RNA from 1 species